GACGAACGCUGGCGGCGUGCUUAACACAUGCAAGUGGGGCGACGAACCGGGCUUCGGCCCGGGGCAAAGCCGCGAACGGGUGAGUAUCACGUGGGUAACCUGCCCCGAUGACCGGGAUAACCCGAGGAAACUCGAGCUAAUACCGGAUGUGCUCCCAAUCCAUCAGGGUUGGAAGUAAAGGAAGCUUCGGCCUCCGCAUUGGGAUGGGCCCGCGGCCCAUUAGCUUGUUGGUGAGGUAACGGCUCACCAAGGCCACGAUGGGUAGCUGGUCUGAGAGGACGAUCAGCCACACUGGGACUGAGACACGGCCCAGACUCCUACGGGAGGCAGCAGUGGGGAAUCUUGCGCAAUGCGCGAAAGCGUGACGCAGCAACGCCGCGUGAGGGAAGAAGGCCUUCGGGUUGUAAACCUCUUUCAGUAGGGACGAAGGUUCAGGCGCGAAUAGUGUCCUGGACUGACGGUACCUCCAGAAGAAGCCCCGGCUAACUACGUGCCAGCAGCCGCGGUAAAAU
rnacentral:rRNA from 1 species